UAAGACCUGCUGCCUGGGAGAGGACAGAAACUUCAGGGGCACAAAGGAGCCUGAGACACCAUUUACCUUCCCAGCCCCAUGAUUGAUGUACCUACUGUGUGCCCAGUGCAGGGAGCAUGCUGACGGGGGUCGGGGUUUGUUGCUGGGAUGGGGGCAGUUAUAAAUCAGGCCGCCCUUCUAAAGUGUUAGAGCUUCUUAAGCCAUUAGAGACCAAAUCCCCAGCCCUGUGUUUUGUGCUGAAAGUUGGGGGUACAUGUGUGUGCGUGAGCGCCUAUUCCAGCAAGGGGCGGUAUGCGGGCACCCAGCUCCCCGGGGAGCUGGAGCAGGUUGGGAGCUGGGCUCGGGUGGACCAGGCAGGUCAGCGCUUCGGGGCUGCUCCCCGUGACAGGCGGCUUCUGUGGCUGCACCGUGGCUUCUGCCUGGAUCGCAGGAUGUGCGUGAGCCCAGCUCCUUCCUGUCCUGGGAAGAAGCCUGGAGGGCAGCCGGGAGCAGGUGGUUCUGUGUUUCCUUCUUGCUCUGGGAUCCGCUUCUUCCGAGCCUGCAGGCAUCUUAGAAGGUGUUUGGGGACACCUCCGUCUUCCUGCCGGCACCCAGAUUCUUCCUCUUUGAGUUCAGGCCUCGCAAGGAGGGUGUUCCAUGCUAUGGGCAGCCGUGGCUCUCUCCCAGGGGCUGGGGCAGGGCUGGCCCCGACUGCAGGUGUGAGCACAUGUAGCUCUUUCCUGCUUGAAGUGCGACAGUACCUUCCCGUUCCAGCUUGAGCUCCUUUCUGACCCAAAACAGCUGCCUCUGGGACUUGGUGACUAUCAGCCCGUGGCCUCUGGAGCCUGCAGACCUGGGUUCAAGUCUUGGCUGUCACUUACCAGUGACUCCAUCUUGGCUAGAGACAUCCUCUUCCCGAGCCUCCAGUUUCCUCAUCUGGAAAAUGGGAAUAAUACUGCCUAAGGCAGUGCCGAUGCGCAGGGGGGCCCCCCUGCACUCUCUGCUGUCCUCACAGCCAUCCUCAGGUUGGGACUGAAGUCAGUCCUGCUUCAUAGAUGGCGAAACUGGCAAAGGUUUAAAAAAAACGUUAACAACCUGUCCAGGCAGCUGAAGUGACGGGAUUUGAACCCACGCAGGCUGGCUCAGGAACGCACACACAGCACUGCUUCCCGGGUGGGCAAGGAGGAAGGGUGCCCCUCGUGGUCCUCAGAGCCCCGCGUGAGGAUAGUCGGGUGUCGGUCACAGAUUUUCCUGCCGUGUGCUCCUGACUUCGGGUGCCAGUGUUUUGUAACUGGGUGUGCUGUCUGGCUGUUUUAUACCUGUGACGAUGAAGAGGCUCCGGCUCUGUGCGUUGCCAGGGGGUGGAGACCCAAACAAGGGCAAGGGGUCAGAGGGACUGUCCCCUCCUCGUUUCUGGGGGCUGGGGCACUGCAGCCCAUCAGGGUCGUGCCACCUCCCCCCAGGCAUCGCUGAGACGGGUGCAGAGCCAGGCAGCCAGGCUCAGCCUCCUCCCCGCGCCCACCUGCCUGGCCCGAGAGCUGGGCCGUCAGCGUCCCUUUUGUCUUUGCAAACAAUUGGGCCGGGAGCUCGGCAGGCCUGACUCAGCGGUCAGUUUUGUCAGCUCCGGGCUGGCAGCGAGGCCCGGCCGGCCGGUGGCUGGCUGAGGGCACGGAGGGAGCUGGCCCUGGUGGCUCAGGGUUUGCAAACCCGUUAACUCUCUCUUGCCUGGCGGAACUUUCCCCAGACUUUCUGGCCCCGAUACGCGCCUUGGACAGCUCUAAAGAUUCCACAGCCCCGCUUUGGGGCAAGGCUACUGCGGAGUCCUCACCUGGCUGGGUCAUAGGUGUCGGCGUGGAAAGGUUUGCCGAAGAAGCUUUAUGCUGCCUGCUUUUGGCUCAGAUUCCCUGGCCCCAGCCAUCUCUCAGAAGCUGACCGGACCGGGGUGUUUCUCUCAUGUAACUGAACGUGGGCUGAGGUCUGGGUGUGAGAAGGCUUCCUUGGCAGGUGGCAGGGGGCUUUAUCACAGGGGACGGACGACACAGACGUCCUUGGCUGAUGGGGCGGGACAGUCGGCAGCCUGCAGGCAGGAGAGAAAGGCGCGUUCCAGGCAGAGCGUUGGGUCUGGCUUGCAAGGUGUGUCCUGGUGUCCGGGCUGUCUCUCCCCUGCCAGGAGCUGGGGUCUGUCCUGGGCCUGGCUGCUCUCAGAGCCCCACCUGGGGUUAUUUUUGAAGGGACAGCUGCCUCUGGGCACAGCUUCCCUGAUCCUGUUCUUAAGGGGGCCUUGCUGGGGGCUCCACACCCAUUUACCACAAGCCUCGCUCUGGGCCAGGCAUGGGGCCAGGCCCUGGGGGUCCAGAGGGCAGGACGGGCUCCUGGACUGCGGGGUGGUAGGCAGGCCUUGUGCUGGAGCAGAGACCCAGGGGCCUGCCUGGGCUUGCGGCCAGUCCCGGACCUGCUCUCUGGGCUCAUCUCCCUGUCCGCGUGGUGGGGACCAUGUUGGUGCCACCUCUUUGGCCUGCCCAGGGACAGUGCAUGCCUGUGUGCAGAGGUGGUCAAUGGGGGCCUGGCCCUCGAGAAGAGAGCGGUGUACCCGUGACUCAUUUCCCAGCCCCUUGACAUGGUCUGUCGCCCCUGCUCCUGUGCCGGCACCGGGCGAGGGCUCAGCAGGGGAUUCUGACACCCUCCUCCCUUCCCCGAGGCCCCCCGCACCCUCGCUCUGACCAGCUCUUAGGCAGAUCAGCACCCCCGGGACUGACCAGGGCCUGAUCGCGUGCAGCCCCACGUGGCCUCCAGUUUCAGAGAUCCCUGCACCCUCUGUGUGAAAGUCCCCAGCGUCAGGUUGGGACCCGCUGCCCUUGUGUUACUCAGGCCGAGGGGUCUGAGUGCAGCGCCUGUGUCCCCAGGGCGGGAGGGGGGCUAGAGGGUGACAGGACGCGUCAGUUUGCCCAAAGCACGGAGCACAUGGGGCUCGGUGAAUGGAGAGAGCUGUUUCUAGACACUUUCAUUCAUCAAGUUGUGUACUUAUUGAGUGCCUGCUGUAUGCCAGGCCUUGUGCCCGGGGAACUCUGAAUAAGAGAGACAUGGCCGGGUCUCCAUCUCACUUCUGACGGGGAAGCUAGGCUGUUGAAAGUCCAUCUGUGCACGUGAGGGCCCGAGGCGGGCGCGGGGGCUGCUGGCGGAGGGAGGGCCAGAUGGGGCCCGCGGACCUGCCUUGAGAUCGUCGCGGGAGGUGGAGGAUUUGCGUGUGAGAGGCAGACUGACACGCCGAAAAACGGUGCAAUAUUCAGCCACGGCCUGGGUCCCAGCUCAUAGCAAGGUGGAGUGUGGGGCUCCUGGACUGGAAAACACAUUGGGUUAUGAGAUGUCACCCCUGGGGACACCGUGGCAGGGCACGUGGGGUCCCUGUACUGUAUUUGCACUUUCUGGGAAUUUUAUCAUCAUUUCCUACUACGACGUCAGUAAAGCCAGGACAUCACAGAGCCCUGAACGGGGGUCGGCGCCGUGGGGGUGGGGCGGCACCUUCGGGGGAGGGGCAGGAAGUGAGGUCAGAGCUGGAGGCCGUGGGGCUGCGGUGCCCUCCCCGCGUGCCAUCACGUGGUUUGUUUUUACUUUCAGGGUGUCUGGGGUGGCCCUUGCCCCCCUCCCCCCCCACAGUCGCUUCCUGUUUGGCACUCGCUGGAGCGAGGCGUGGGCCCGCGUGUGGCCCUGCCCGGCGGGCGGCCCGUGCACACCUGUUGUUUGUCCCCGUCGGCUGCAACAGAAACCAGCCUCUGGGGCGGUUCUUGGGCUCCUGUCCAAGGAUGAGCUGCUGGCCCGGCCCCGCUGGCCCUGGCAGGAGGGGCCCCCCGUGCCCAGGGCCUCGCCCGGAAGCCUCGGGCCCCAGGGGAGAGGCCGGACCACACUCAGGCUGACACGGGCGUCUGACUCGGCCCCAGGGUGCGUCCCAGAGCAGGAGCGGGGACAAGGGCGCCGGGGGGCGGCCCGGGCCUUGGUGCUGCGGCGCAAGGGGGCUGCAUGGGUGUCUGGAGGCUCCACAAUUCGUCUGGGGUCCUUGUUCUCGUGACUUUUCACCCUCGAGCCUCAGUUUCCCCGCCUGCCACGUGGACGUGACGAGUGCACGGCAGUGUGGGGGGGCUCUGGAUCAUUCUCUCGACCCUCCCUCGUGGGUGAAAGGAGGACGCUGUGCUUUCGUCCGGCCAGUUUGCUCGGAGGACAUUUGCUGGCUUUGUGGCAGGCUGGGGGCUCCGUGGGGACGCAGGGAGCCCUGGUCCUGCUUGUGAUCCCGGAGCUUCUGCGGCAGAGCUGCCAUGGCUCAGGUGGUGACAGGUGCUCUGGGCGGGAAGGGUGCGCCAGGCGGGAGGCUGGUGGGAGUGGUGGGAGAACGUGGGGGGGUUGGGGAGAUCAGGGACCCAGCAGGGUGGCCUCAGCUCGCCGCCCACGGAGCGUUUGCAUUUUACUCUGAGUGAUGGGGGCUGGUGUGGGCCCUGCGGAGGUGACGGCUGGCCUCCUGCAUCCUGAAAGCAUCCCUCUGGCUGCUGCUGGGCCUGGACCGCCGAGGCCAGGGGGAAGGGCCCACGAGGGGACCGCGCAGUGGCCGUGGUGGCCGCCUGGACCAGCACUGAGGCUCACCCCCCACUACAUCUACCCACAAGCCAUCGUCCAGCCCAGCGUGGUGAUCCCGGCCGCCCCGGUCCCGUCGCUGUCCUCGCCCUACAUCGAGUACACGCCGGCCAGCCCGGCCUACGCCCAGUACCCGCCGGCCACCUAUGACCAGUACCCAUACGCCGCCUCGCCCGCCACAGCCGCCAGCUUCGUGAGCUACGGCUACCCGGCCGCCGUGCCCCAGGCCCUCUCGGCGGCAGCCCCCGCGGGCACCGCCUUCGUGCAGUACCAGCCUCCGCAGCUGCAGCCGGACAGGAUGCAGUGAGGGCCGCUCCGGCCACCGCAGCCCCGUCACCAUGUGCUGGGCGGGCGCUGGCCGAGCCCCGGGGUGCACGCCUGCACCUGUGCCUCGGGAGACCCCGCGGGGCCCCGCCUGCACCCCGAACGCCCAGAGACCACUUCUCUUUACACCCAGGACCGUCGUGUCUGGAGAGAGGACUUCGAGAGGAAAGAAUGCCCGCGAGCUAGUUGAACAUCGGCCAGAACGCGCACACGCCGCCGGCCUCUCCCUUCACCGUCCCCGCCCUUGCGCCCCCCGGGAGCCCCGGGGCGGUCCCCCCGCAUCGGCCGGGCCUUCCAGACCUCCCACAGAUCCCAGCCGCCCUUUGGGGUGAGCAGAAACUUUGUCCCGCUCGGAGAGGCCUUUCCCGCUCGGAGGGGAGCCCAGAAGCGCGCGGCUCGCUGUCACUCCACCUGCGCGGCGGAACCGGGAACCCGCGUCAGGGGGAAACGCCACCUCCUGAAUUCCCGUUUUCUACGUGAUGCCCUGGGGGCGGCUUCCUGCAGACCACCCCCCGUGGGGCCACCGGCCAUCAGCGACCUGCGCCAGGGCAGCCGGCCGAAGUCCUUUCUGUCAAAGCACUGCGACUUUUUUCUUACCGUCAUUGUUUUGCUACUAAGAUGAUUUCAGAGUUUCAGUCUAUUUUUUCAGUGGAGACUCCCACCACCGAGAAUCCAAAACCUGUUUUUUGAUGUUGAGAGACUCACUUCUGUCGAUGGCUCCGCCCAAGGGGAUAGUGACCGUCCUUCUGUGAUCAGGUGCCCAAGCCCCCGGGGGGUGGCGGCGGGGGGGGGGGCAUCUCCAGAGAGUGAGUUGUCUCAAGCUUGUCCCCCUCUGCACAGCCCGGACGUGAUGCUGGCUGCGGGGCCAGACCUUGGUGCAGGAUGGCCCCCCCACCCCCAGUGUCCCUGCUGCCUGUCAGCCUGAGCCGCAGAAUUGAGCUGAGACACAUCUGCCUCCCUUGGGGGCCUGGUGGGGAGGGGGAGGUGACAAUGCCAACACACUGUGAAGCGGGGGGAGAGUGAGAGGAGGGCGGUGGCCUGGCAGAGGGGACAGGCUGAGAGCGUUUGGGGGUGGGGGGCGGGCCAGAAGGUUGGGGGGCGCUGGGGUGUUCCUUCAGACCUACCUCAGGGAAGUGGGAGGCCUCAGGGCUGACGUAUGUGGGCACGCGCUUCAUGGCACGCCUGGCGCAGAGUCAAGGCCCAGAAAAUAAAGGUAGCUAAUAUUAUAAUAUUUUUAUUAGAACGUUCUGAUUAUAAAAAUAAAACUUGUUUUCGUUAAAGAAAAAGUCAGCCUGGCGUUUUUCCCUGGAAGUGGACGCCUCGACCCCCCCGGCCACCAUGGUCGAGUCACGUCCGAGUCAGGGUCCCCCAGCGGAGGGCGGACCCCUCUCAGCAUCCCCUGUGUGCAGAGCAGGGCCCCGGGGGCGGCGGCUGGGGGAGGGCCUAUGUGACUGGCGGCUCCAUCAGAACCCCCUGGACCGGGGGAACUGGGCAGAAGCUGGUUGGAGCUGCAGAGAGGGCAGAGCAGCAGGUGUCCAGGCUGCCUGCCGUUGGGUGCUGGCUGCCGGCGAGGCUGGAGGUCAGAGUAAGAAAGGGCCGUCUGGGUCUGGGGGUGAGGGGCUCCAAGGCGGGAGAGUCCCGGCCUCUCCCACCGCUCAGCGCUGGGGGCAUCCGAGGGCCUCCCGGAGGGGGCAUGAAGGCUGGAGGGGAGGUUCCUCACUCGUUCCCGCAAGCGCUCCCUCAUUCGUUCAUUCCAAGAAACGUCCUGUGUCGGGUCACAUGCCAAGCACUGGGGGCAGUCGUAAACAAGACCCACAGUCCUGCCCACUGGGCUUAGCAAUCCAGUGGGCACACAGCAUGCCACCGGGUGGGGGAGGGGCAGCACAGGGAAGCGGGGCCUUUCAGACACGGGUCAGGACGUGUGACCGGGUGAUGAGAAUGACCGGGUGCUCGCCAGCGGGAACAGCAGGUGCAAAGGCCCGGGGACGGGGGGUAUGGGACAAGGAGGCCAGAGUGGCUGAAGAAGCCGCACGAGGGGGACGUGGGCGGGAGACAGGGCUGGGGAGGCAGCAGAGCCUCCGUGGGGGACGUGCUGUGAGCGCAGUCGGGCAGGGUGGCACGCUCAGCACAGUGUGGUCCAUGCCGUGCGGGGGGCAGGGCAGGACCGCACACGUGGGAGGAGGCACGGGGGCAGCCGGGUGGAGGGGCUCCUGGGGAUCUGGGGGAGUGGAUUCGGUACCCCUGGUGGGGAGGCCAGGCUGAGCAAGGCUUGGAGGUCGUGAGCUGGCCUGCUUUGGGACAGUUGCUGUCGAGGCUCCACGCUUGUCCUCCCCUGACCUGCAGAGCAGGGCUUGGCCCCAGGGCGUAUGCAUCUGCCCCUUUCUCCCUCCACCCCCUGCACAGGGGGUGCAGGGGCGGCCAGACUCCAGUUUCUCCGGCCCCUCCCUCACCCUCCCUGUAAACUCCUGCUGAGCCUGUUUCCAAUCUACCCCCUCCUCUGUUCUCAGCCCCGGUCCAGGACCACCCCUCUCUCCUGGACCCUUGCUGCGGCCCCUUGCUUCUGCCUGCGUGCUCCGGUCCACACUCCAUGUGCAACCAGAGGGUCCUGUUGGGCAUCAGUGGGAACAUGGCCCUUGCCAGCUCGGAGCCCUCUGUGGCUCCCUGCCAUCCUCGAGGAAAGAGCCCAAGCUGUCCCUGCGGGCAGUGAGACCUCUGCCCACACCAGGCACAGCCCGCUGCGGGACCUUUGCUCUUGCGGUGGAAUCCUCCAGCUUUUACCUGCUGGACUCCAGCCCUCAGCUCAGAAGUGUCUUUGUCCCCGCAGCCGCCUCUGACCCCAGUCUUGGUCCAGGCAGCUGAGCCCUGUCCCCCUUCUUCUGUGUCUCCCCUACCCGCCCCCCGCAUGGGCAUGCCCACUCCAGGGGGCAGGGCCAUCUGCCUUGUUCCUGCUCUGUCCCCCGCCCCGCAGGGCAACAGCCCCCCUGCAUUUGGAACUUGACGGGGAAAGGGCAUCAGAGGUUUCUGGUGGAGGACAGUAGCGGGAGUUUGGGGACCGUCCGUCCAGGCUGGAGUGAGCUGGGCGGAUCGGGGCCGGAAGGCUGGGGGGAGGGACAGCUAGAGGCCAGAGCUGCUGCAGUGUCCGCAGGGAACGGGACAGAAGUUGCUGAGGGGGAACAAGCCCUGCAUGGAGCUGGGCAGCUGGCUGUGAUCCCAGAGUCCACCGAUAGCUCCACACGGUCAGCCCUUGGCUUUGCAGUGAGAAGGGUCACCCUGCGUGGGGAGGUGGCUCCGGUGGGCUGGGGCCACAUCCUCAGCCUGUCCUGAGGUCCUUGUGGGGACCUCCUCCGGCCUUUCCCAGACCCUCUGACUUGCAGAUUUGCUGGUUACCCGUCUGUGGUCCAGGCCUCUGGCCUCUGCGCAGGGAACGCGCAGGGUUCCCGGGUCAAGUCAGGUGAGAUCCUGCCGGGCAGGGUCCCCCUUUUUACCAGGGACGCCCCCAAUGCCCCACCCCUUGUCCCCUGCCCCCUCCCUCUAGCUGGGUCUUAGUUGGCAAACACUGGCAAGAGGUCAGAGAGGUCAGCGUGGGGCUCCCGGGCCGGAGGAGGCAUUUGCUGCAGCUGAUAAGGGCGGGGGGCCAGGGAGGGGGUUGCGGGUGCUGCCAGGGUUAUCUGGAGGGCCACUUGCAGCCAGCCUGUUUCCUGUCGCUAUCGGCCGGUGGCAGCCUCUGGGACAGGCCCGGGGCCUCAAAAACAUCCUCCUGGGGCCCAGGAUUGAGGGUCUGGACUGUGGCAAACCCAGGAAAGGGCUUCCACGGUCCGGGCACCGAGUCGGGGCAGGAGCUAGCGGGGGUGGCAGUGCUGCGGUCUGUGCACGUGGCGCAUGACCACUUGUCCUGGCGGUAAUGAUUGUAAAUGACAGCAGUGAGCACGGCUGCCGGCACCCUAGGGGAUCAGGGCUGUGCAAGCACUUCUUGUGGACGGUCACUUACCCACGAAGGGACCCUUGAGGGCGUCCCCCUUGCACAGACGGGGAAACUGAGACACGGGAGUGGAGCCACCACUGCCCGGGGCCUCAGGAUCGAUGUGGAGGUGAAGGGCGUUGGCCUGACCCGUGGCCCUGGUCCCCCCAGGCCGCCACCUCCCUGAGCCUCACGGGGAAAGGGGCUGUGACCGUCCUCUAGGGCUGGGGCUGUGUCCCUUCCCCGCUGUGUCCUCAGCAGACAGUGUACUGAGAAUGGGCACGGGUUGGUGAGGAUGGGCUGUGGGCACCACCAGCUCCUCUCUCGUCAGCCCCAGUCCCCGUGUCAGGGAGUCUUGGUCCCAUACUCCCAGAGGGCCAGGCACACACGUGUGCACAGACACACGUACACGUCUGUGUACACAUUAACACACACUCUCCCAACAUACAGACACAUAUAUGGACACAGACACAGACACGCCCGUGCCCCGCCCCGCAGACAUCCACGCUCACGGAGGCAGAGACACGGACACACACUCAGCCUCACACGCGCUCCUAGGUGCACAGACGUCUGCACACGUACAUCUGUAUUCUACACGUGGACCCUGACACCCAUAAAUACGCAGAAACACACCCCCUGCGCACACAUGGACACACACAUAAACACGUCUAUGCAGACACAGCACACAUCUAUGCGCUCAGACACACACAUCCCCUCACACCUGUUACAUGACGAGCCCAGAGCCGCCGCCACGGCCUGGGCCCCACGCUGAGCAAGGGCCUCGUGCCUCAGCAGCUGCCACGGUUUUGAAGGGGUCACAGUUUUGACUCUCCAGGACAAGAGAGGUGGGACGCCAGGCAGGCGACGCCUGGUGGGCUGGGACGGCCUGGGCAGGAAGGAGGCGGUGGCAGGGCCCGCUGGGUGAGGGGGCAGCAGGAGCAGAGUUUCCACGAGUGAAUGGGCCUUCCCGGGGGGCGGUUCCAGGCCUGCGGGGCAAAGAGACGGAGGAGGGAGCUUUGUGGUGGGGGCAGCCGGGGAGGGAGGGGUGGCGGGGUUCCCAGGGCCGGGACCUCUGUUAGCCUGGGCCACGGCCAUGGACGCAGGGCAUACGUUCCUGCCUGGGUCUGCCUGGCACUCCAGCUGGGGGAGGCACACGGGGCUCAGAGGGUCCUGAGACCCUGUCCCCGGGACACUGAUUUGGAGACCGCCAGCUGGAGAGGGGCAGAGGCAGGUGACAAGAACAUACAGAGGUGCUUCCGUUACCGGUUGGAGCCUCCUUAUCCCACUUUCCAGAUGAGCCACCUGAGGCCCAGGGAGAAGAAGGGCUCCUUUGAGGUUGCAGGGCUGUGGCUCCACCUCUGGGGAGAGAUUCUGAAAAGACUGGGCUGGGGCGUGGGCGGGGAGCACGGCCACCCAAGUCCACGAGAAGCCGCACAGUGUCACCUCCGCGCUGCCGCCCCAGGCCUGCUCUACCCCUUUCCCCUGGGAUUGGGGGAGAGCGCUUGCUUAGCCCUCAUUUUCUCGGAGCCUCAGUUUCUUUCUGCACAGAUGAGAUGCCCUGGGUGGCACCUGCAGGAAACUGCCGGGCCAGUGUCCACCCCCUUCCUCAGGGAACAGGGCCUGGCACAUUCUCCUCCCUGGCCCAGUGCCUAGGUCAGGAAUAAACAUGUAACCCAUUGUGAGCCAAUGAGCAUUAGUCCUGGAUUUCUACUGGGACUUUACGGGGACGGAAGCUGUCUUUCUGCUGGGGAAGCCAAUCUGGGAGCAGAUAAGCCUGGAGCU